rnacentral:rRNA from 1 species
UACAGAGGGUGCGAGCGUUAAUCGGAAUUACUGGGCGUAAAGCGUGCGUAGACGGCUAUCUAAGUCGGGUGUGAAAGCCCCGGGCUCAACCUGGGAAUUGCAUUCGAGACUGAAUAGCUAGGGUACGGUAGAGGGAAGUGGAAUUUCCGGUGUAGCGGUGAAAAUGCGUAGAUAUCAAGAGGAACACCUGCGGCGAAGGCGGGUUGCUGGGCCGACACUGACGCUGAGGCGCGAAAGCCAGGGGAGCGAACGGG